rnacentral:rRNA from 1 species
UACGGGGGGGGCAAGCGUUGUUCGGAAUUACUGGGCGUAAAGCGUGCGCAGGCGGUUCGUUAUGUCCGAUGUGAAAGCCCCGAGCUCAACUUGGGAAUGGCAUUGGAAACUGGCGGGCUGGAGUGUGGCAGAGGGGGGUGGAAUUCCACGUGUAGCAGUGAAAUGCGUAGAGAUGUGGAGGAACACCGAUGGCGAAGGCAGCCCCCUGGGCCAACACUGACGCCUCAGGCACGAAAGCGUGGGAGCAAACAGG